AAGACAGAGGUACCUUCUAAAGACUCUAGGUUACCAUCCAUUGAUAAGAAUGUCUAGAUAUAUUUAAGAUUUUGUCAUGUCUAAGUUAAUUCAUUUAUAGGAAGCAUUUUGGCAUUGGUUAAUUUAUCAAGAAUUGCACUAUUCCCCUUUCGUUAAUCACCAUCACCCUCUUGUGAACUUAAAUCUUGACUUCCACUCGUUCCCCUUUCAUAUUUCUCUAGGAAAUCUAAUUCAUCAAACAUGGGUUAAUAAGUUCCUUUUCAAGCUCUUUAACAACAAUGGUUCUUCUAAGUUUAGAAUUACCUUGGGUGAAUCUAUGGUCUCUCUCUCUCUCUCUCUCUAUCUAUCUAUCUAUCUAUCUCUCUCUUGUAGGAAUUUAAUGUUUAUGCAAAAGAUGUUUGGAUGCUAUGAGAAAUGCACCUGGUUCUUUGUAUGAUUACUAUCUCCAUUAUGGACAAGAUGAAUAAGUACACGUUUCGUCAAGAAGUUACACUAACCGGAGGAUCAUCGGUGUGGAAGAUUGCUUCUAUUGGUGCAAAUGAUUUUUUUAAAAGCUGAAGCAUUUUGAGGGAGGUUACUCCGAGUGCUUUGAUAUUUAUUAGAAUGGUGUGGACCAUGGCUGAGUCAAGAUACAUGGCUUUCCUUUCAGUAGGCAUACAACUCUUGGUUUAUAAGUUUCGUCAAAAAAUUUGUAUCUGUAAUCUGUAUUUAUUGUUUUCUGAUAUUUGAAACUAAAUCUAU